ACACGUAGGAGGCAAACGUUAUCCGGAUUUACUGGGCGUAAAGCGCGUGUAGGCGGUUCUGUAAGUAGGGCGUGAAAGCUCCCGGCUCAACUGGGAGAGGCCGUUCUAAACUACAGAACUAGAGGAUGGUAGAGGGAGGUGGAAUUCCAGGUGUAGCGGUGGAAUGCGCAGAUAUCUGGAGGAACACCAGUGGCGAAGGCGGCCUCCUGGACCAUUCCUGACACUCAGACGCGAAAGCUAGGGUAGC
rnacentral:rRNA from 1 species